AAUUAUUUACAUUUGAAGUAGGUUUGUAUACCGCUUGGAGUUUUAUAUUAAUUCUCUUUUAAAACUGUUUUCUUAACGUUUCAUUUUUAAUAAUAUCAAUACAAAUGUUAAGUAGAAAUAACACCAAAGAAGAGGACGUUAAGUAACGUCACUUUUUAAAGAUACGUACAUACGUAAACAUAAUGUUUAAUAUUUUUGAAUCUAAUACGUUUGACUAAUUUUUAAUAACAUAUUUAUACAUUUCAGUAUAAAUAAUUAUAAAAUAUUAAGUAAAUAUAUACAGGAUUUAUAACAUGCGUUGCAGGAAAGGGAAACAAAAGGGCAAAACAAAAACGUCUCCGCAAUUUGAGCUGUGUAGGGGUCGUCAACAAAGGUACUUCAUUAAAGCAGAAAUGUCUAUCUAUCCUGAUGGAAAAAGAACGCACACAUUAAUAAAAAAACUAACACUGAGCUUACUAACAUCAACACGCAUAUUUUGCUUUACAAUCACUUUUACUAACGAGUGUUGUCUUUUCAUUAGCUGAGACUAGAAUUGGGUAGGGACAGUGGUUUUAAGCAAACGAAAAGCUAUGUUUCAUGAAAACUGUUAAACAAUCGGAUUAAAUUCAGUUUAGAAAGAUGGUGUCGAUUGAGGGGAAAUUUAUUGUUUUAUUUUAAAAGUAGAGAGCCAUGGUCUGAA